GCCGGGCGUGGUGGCUCAUGCCUGUAAUCCCAGCAAUUUGGGAGGCUGAGGCGGGUGGAUCACCUGAGGUCAGGAGUUCGAGACCAGCCUGACCAACAUGGAGAAACCCAGUCUCUA
rnacentral:SRP_RNA from 1 species